rnacentral:misc_RNA from 1 species
GAUGAAGAACGCAGUGAAACGCGAUAAGUAAUGUGAAUUGCAGAAUUUAGUGAAUCAUCGAACUUUUGAACGCACAUUGCGCCCGGCGGCACUCCGCCGGGCAUGCCUGUCCGAGCGUCAUUAUACUGCCCUCGACUUCGCGUCGGUGUUGGGAGCCUCUGCGCGCAAGGCAGCUCCCCAAGUCCACUGGCGUCGCGCCUCGGUGCCCCCCCCCCCGCGUAGUAAUCUCACCUCGCGCGGGACCCGGAGCGUCGGCUGCCUAUAUCUGAUAGCGGGCUCUCGAGCCGCGCUCUCGCACAGUUGACCUCGGAUCAGGUAGGGUUACCCGCUGAACUUAAGCAUAUCAAUAAGCGGAGGA